rnacentral:rRNA from 1 species
CAGGUAACAGAGGGUUCGAUCCUGGCUCAGAUUGAACGCUGGCGGGAUGCUUUACAAUACGCAAGUCGAACGGCAGCACGGACUUCGGUCUGGUGGCGAGUGGCGAACGGGUGAGUAAUGUAUCGGAACGUGCCUAGUAUGGGGAUAACUACGCGAAAGGUGUAGCUAAUACUGCAUACGCUCCUCGGGGAAAGCGGGGGACCUUUCGGGCCUCGCACUAUUAGAGCGGCCGAUAUCGAUUAGCUAGUUGGUGGGGUAACGGCUCACCAAGGCGACGAUCCGUAGCUGGUUUGAGAGGACGACUCAGCCACACUGGGACUGAGACACGACCCAGACUCCUACGGGAGGCAGCAGUGGGAAUUCUUGGACAAUGGGGGAAACCCUGAUCCAGUCAUCCCGCGUGUGCGAUGAAGCGUCUUCGGGUUGUGGAAGCACUUUUGGUGCAGGGAAAGAACGGUAUCGUGGAUAAUACCUCGUGCAACUGACGGUGUCGCAGAAUACACUGGCUAACUACGUGCCAGCAGUCAUAAUACGUAGGUGCAAGCGUUAAUCGGAAUUACCGGGCGUAAAGCGCAAGGCAGGCGGUUCAAAGAAAGACGAAAUCCCAGAGCUUAACUUUGGAACCGCAUUUUUAACUACCGAGCUAGAGUGUACAGAGGAGGAAUUCUGCGCGUGUAGUAGUGAAAUGCGUAGAUAAGGUGAGGAACACCGAUGGCGAAGGCAGCCUCCUGGAUAACACUGACGCUCAUGCACGAAAGCGUGGGGAGCAAACAGGAUUAGAUAAUUCUGGUAGUCCACGCCCUAAACGAUGUCAACUAGCUGUUGGGGGCCUUCGCCUUGGAAGCAGCUAACGCGUGAAGUUGACCGCCUGGGGGAGUACGGUCGCAAGAUUAAAACUCAAAGGACCGAUUUGGGACCGCACAAGCGGUGGAUGAUGUGGAUUAAUUGAUGCAACGCGAAAACCUUACCUACCCUUGACAUGUCUGGAAUCCCGAAGAGAUUUGGGAGUGCUCGCAAGAGAACCGGAACACAGGUGCUGCAUGGCUGUUGGCCGCUCGUGUCGUGAGAUGUUGGGUUGCUCCGCAACGAGCGCAAGCAACCCUUGUCGGCUAGUUGCUACGAAAGGGCACCCUAAUGAGACUGCCGGUGACAAACUGAGGAAGGUGGGAUGACGUCAAGUCCUCAUGGCCCUUGCGUAGGCUCACAUCGUCAUACAAUGGUCGGGACAGAGGCCGCCAACCCGCGAGGGGGAGCCAAUCCCAGAAACCCGAUCGUAGUCCGAUCGCAGUCUGCAACCUGACCGCGUGAAGUCGGAAUCGCCAGUAACCGCGGAUCAGCAUGUCGCGGUGAAUACGUUCCCGGGUCUUGUACACACCGCCCGUCACACCAUGGGAGUGGGUUUUACCAGAAGUAGUUAGCCUAACCGUAAGGAGGGCGAUUACCACGGUAGGAUUCAUGACUGGGGUGAAGUCGUAACAAGGUAA